rnacentral:rRNA from 1 species
CGAAAGCCUGACGGAGCAAUACCGCGUGAGGGAGGAAGGCUCUUGGGUUGUAAACCUCUUUUCUCAAGGAAGAACACAAUGACGGUACUUGAGGAAUAAGCAUCGGCUAACUCCGUGCCAGCAGCCGCGGUAAUACGGAGGAUGCAAGCGUUAUCCGGAAUGAUUGGGCGUAAAGCGUCCGCAGGUGGCUGUGUAAGUCUGCUGUUAAAUAGUGAGGCUCAACCUCAUAAAGGCAGUGGAAACUACACGGCUAGAGUGCGUUCGGGGCAGAGGGAAUUCCUGGUGUAGCGGUGAAAUGCGUAGAGAUCAGGAAGAACACCGGUGGCGAAAGCGCUCUGCUAGGCCGCAACUGACACUGAGGGACGAAAGCUAGGGGAGCG